GGGGCUGUAGCUCAGUGAUAAAGUGCUUGCCUAACAAGUGUGAGGCCCUGGGUUCAAUUCCCAGCACCUCA
rnacentral:tRNA from 1 species